GACGAACGCUGGCGGCGUGCUUAACACAUGCAAGUCACGGGGGCUGGAGCAAUCCAGUAACCGGCGAACGGGUGCGUAACACGUGAGCAACCUGCCGUACUCAGGGGGAUAGCCGGCCCAACGGCCGGGUAAUACCGCAUACGUUCUCGCAGGGGAGUCCCUGUGGGAGGAAACCUCCGGGGGAGUACGAGGGGCUCGCGGCCUAUCAGCUAGUUGGUGCGGUAACGGCGCACCAAGGCGACGACGGGUAGCUGGUCUGAGAGGAUGGCCAGCCACAUUGGGACUGAGAGACGGCCCAGACUCCUACGGGAGGCAGCAGUGGGGAAUCUUGCGCAAUGGCCGAAAGGCUGACGCAGCGACGCCGCGUGGGGGAUGAAGCAUUUCGGUGUGUAAACCCCUGUUGCCCGGGACGAAUCCACCUUUUCGAGGGUGUUGACGGUACCGGGUGAGGAAGCACCGGCUAACUCCGUGCC
rnacentral:rRNA from 1 species